AAUUUGAUAACAUUUUGUUGACUGGUGAUAACAACAACAGUUAUGUUUGGUAUUUAGAACUUAUUUUGAAAGGAUGUUAAAUAAAAACAUUGAAUAUUUGAUAUGCUUGUAUAGUUUACAGAUUUUUUUUAUUAUUUAUAUGUAUCAAAGCAGAUAUCCGCAAAUAUCACAAAAAAAAUCGGAUAUUCGAAUUUCCGGAUAUCCGGAAAUUUUCGAAUCGAAGCAAAUCACAAAAUCAAGUAUUCGGUUAAAACGAAUCAAAAAACAAAUAUUAUAAUUUUUCCGGAUAUCCGCUUCGUGUCCAGGCAGUAUGAUCUUUUACACACACAUGAGUAGUACUAUGUUCAUAAAUCGUA
rnacentral:sRNA from 1 species